UGCAAGUCGAGGGGUAAAUAUGUAGCAAUAUAUAUGAGACCGGCGCACGGGUGCGUAACACGUAUGCAACCUACCUUUUACUGGGGAAUAGCUCAGAGAAAUCUGAAUUAAUACCCCAUAAUAUCCCGGAGCGGCAUCGCUUUCGGGAUUAAAGCUCCGGCGGUAAAAGAUGGGCAUGCGGAACAUUAGCUAGUUGGUGAGGUAAUGGCUCACCAAGGCUACGAUGUUUAGGGGGUCUGAGAGGAUGAUCCCCCACACUGGUACUGAGACACGGACCAGACUCCUACGGGAGGCAGCAGUAGGGAAUAUUGGUCAAUGGACGCAAGUCUGAACCAGCCAUGCCGCGUGCAGGAUGAAUGUCCUAUGGAUUGUAAACUGCUUUUUUACGGGAAGAAACCCCUGGAUGCGUCUGGGGCUGACGGUACCGUAAGAAUAAGGAUCGGCUAACUUCGUGCCAGCAGCCGCGGUAAGACGAAGGAUUCAAGCGUUGUCCGGAUUUACUGGGUUUAAAGGGUGCGUAGGCGGAAAUCUAAGUCAGUGGUGAAAUCCCGCAGCUUAACUGCGGAACUGCCAUUGAAACUGGUUUUCUUGAAUACAGUGGAGGUAGAUGGAAUAUAACAUGUAGCGGUGAAAUGCUUAGAUAUGUUAUAGAACACCGAUUGCGAAGGCAGUCUGCUACACUGUCAUUGACGCUGAGGCACGAAAGCGUGGGAAGCGAACAGGAUUAGAUACCCUGGUAGUCCACGCCCUAAACGUUGAUUACUCGCUGUUGGCGAUACACUGUCAGCGGCUAAGCGAAAGCGUUAAGUAAUCCACCUGGGAAGUACGUCCGCAAGGAUGAAACUCAAAGGAAUUGACGGGGGCCCGCACAAGC
rnacentral:rRNA from 1 species